UACAAAUCGAUCUCUUUGGUUCCCUAAGUGAGGUCCAAUUGGUUGACAUUGUGGUUUGUCUUUGUGUGUAAACUUGCAGCUUCAGAGAGGCGAAGAUGAGCUGCAGAGACAGCAGAAGAAAACACUUUCUCUGCAACAGGAAAAGGAUGAUCAUCUUUUUGAGCUCUAGCCUCGAGAAAUUAGACUCAGCAGCUCCAGUCUAAGCUGUGUAAAGUGAAAUCUGAGAUAAAAAAUGAAGAGCAGAAGUUGAAGAGCUACACAAUGAACUGGGUAUAUCCAGCUAGUUAUAUGGGCAGGCCAAAUGUUCAGGUACUGUACUAAGAUAUCAUUAACUGACCUGAACUACAUAAAUUAAGCUGAUUAUUCCUUCACUUAAUUAACUGAGAAUGACCUAUUGAUGUAUAGGCAGAGCAAGAUAGAGACUACAUUCUGCACUGUGCUAAAUUUAUAGGUUUUCAAUUAGUUCUAUUAUUGACUAAGACUAUUUAGAAAAGGACUUUACUUUUAUGUUUUGUCGCAGGUUUAUAAUUUAGGAAGUUAUAUUGAAAAUGAUCUGUUUGUAUUACUUGAAUGAUUAAAAAAAAUGAUCCAGUUAAAAUUAUUUAUUCAACUAUACUCCUGGCUGGCUAACACUUAUAUGUUUGUCUUUCAACUGGCUGUUAUGCCUUAUUACAAGUAUUGAUUAAUAAUGUCCAAAAUAUUAAUACUCUCCAAAUUUAAGUCAUAAUAGUUUUAGAAAUAAUAUGCAACCAGAUUAUUUGUUUAAAAGAAUAUUUUAAAGGAAUGCAAGGAAAAUAUCGACAUCAUCUCUGAUCAUUUUAUUAUAAAUGGAAACAGAGAUUUUCUUUCAAAAAUUGUACAUUUACUGUGAUUUUUAGUUAAGCUCCAUACAAUAUCUGAUAGCAAUUUACCUAACGUAUUAAAUAAUCUCAGUAGUAUAUUUACAGAUUUUGUUCAGAGGAAAAUAUGAAUUUGUCUAAUGCAGGGGUUUUUAUUAUGCAGAAUGAUGGAGUAAAUUAGAAUUUAGUUACAAAUCAAUUUCCACUGUAGGUAUUAUUUCAAAAAAACACAUAAUUAGAAACCAAACAGAAAAAAAUAUAGCUGCUAAAAAGUAAUACUGCUACAAAUGUUGGAGAAAGUAAUAGGUUUAAAAAUAUUAGCAUGUAAUAGUAGUAGGACUGUUACAUCAGACUGAUGAUUCUUCUGUAAUAUUUCUAUUUUAAAAGAUAUAUUUUGGCCAAUAAGAAAAUAAUAAAACAACUUGCAGAUAAGCUUGUAUAAAAAAGUAACUUUCUAGUUAUAGUUAUACUACCAAGUUAGUAUACUUGGUAGUAUAAAAAAAGUAUACCAUUGUGUAUAUUUAGCUAAAAAGACCAUGACUACUCAUGUUUGGACCCUGACCACCGUUUUCUUUGGCUCAUUCCUUAGUAUAAUUUUUUGUGGAAAUGUACUUUCUCUAAUGAUAUGGAUUGUUUCAGGUACAUCUCUAUGACCAAAGUUAAUAUAAAUUCUGCAUUUUUUUCCAAGUCAUUGUACACUAAAAGGCUGAUGUCUUUAUUGAUGCAGUUCUCCUCAAGCUUAAAAAAAUUAAACAUUGUAUGUAUA